UACGGAGGGUGCGAGCGUUGUCCGGAAUCAUUGGGCGUAAAGGGCGCGUAGGUGGCCUGCUAAGCGUGCGGUGAAAGCUCGGGGCUCAACCCCGAGUCGGCCGUGCGAACUGGUGGGCUUGAGCACUGUAGAGGCAGGCGGAAUUCCGGGUGUAGCGGUGAAAUGCGUAGAGAUCAGGAAGAACAUCGGUGGCGAAGGCGCUCUGCUGGACCAUAACUGACACUCAGGGACGAAAGCUAGGGGAGCGAAUGGG
rnacentral:rRNA from 1 species